GGGAGGCAGCAGUGAGGAAUAUUGGUCAAUGGGCUUACGCCUGAACCAGCCAAGUCGCGUGAGGGAAGACUGCCCUAUGGGUUGUAAACCUCUUUUGUCAGGGAGCAACGCCGGCUACGUGUAGCCGGACUGAGAGUACCUGAAGAAAAAGCAUCGGCUAACUCCGUGCCAGCAGCCGCGGUAAUACGGAGGAUGCGAGCGUUAUCCGGAUUUAUUGGGUUUAAAGGGUGCGUAGGCGGAAUGCCAAGUCAGCGGUAAAAUCGCGGGGCUCAACCUCGCUCCGCCGUUGAAACUGGCGUUCUUGAGUGGGCGAGAAGUAUGCGGAAUGCGUGGUGUAGCGGUGAAAUGCAUAGAUAUCACGCAGAACUCCGAUUGCGAAGGCAGCAUACCGGCGCCCAACUGACGCUGAAGCACGAAAGCGUGGGUAUCGAACAGGAUUAGAUACCCUGGUAGUCCACGCAGUAAACGAUGAAUACUAGCUGUUCGGGGCAAUUGGGCCUUGA
rnacentral:rRNA from 1 species